AGACGCUUCUCCAUCCCCACUCCCAGAAGCUCACAGAACUGAGCGGCAGCUGGGAACUCAUCCCCUGGCUGUUUCUAGAAGCAAUGAGCUCUGCUGCUUCCCAGCAACAACAACAACAACAACAACAACAACAACAACAACUCCUACUACUGCUGCUGGCCUUCACUGAACACAUAUUACAUGCUAGGCACUGGGUUUUACAUUUUGUUCUAACAAACACAGCUUCAAAAGAAAUCAACCCAAAACUUACUAUUUAAAACAAUGCCAGUUAUGUGGAGUGGUAUCUUGGUUCUCAUCAUUAAUUGGUUCCAGGAGGCAAAAUGAGUACCAAAAACUAUGAGUACCAAAA
rnacentral:lncRNA from 1 species